rnacentral:misc_RNA from 1 species
UCUCCGUUGGUGAACCAGCGGAGGGAUCAUUAUCGAGUUUAUAACUCCCAAACCCUAUGUGAACUUACCACUUGUUGCUUCGGCGCGCGCUUCGGCGCCGCCGAGGACACUUAAACUCUUUGUUUUUAUAAGCAUUUCUGAGUGGCCGAAAGGCAUAAUACAAAUGAAUCAAAACUUUCAACAACGGAUCUCUUGGUUCUG